rnacentral:rRNA from 1 species
UGCCAGCCGCCGCGGUAAUACGUAUGUCUCGAGCGUUACCCGGAAUCACUGGGUGUAAAGGGUUCGUAGGCGGUUUGAUAAGUUGGAUAUGAAAGACCGGAGCUCAACUCCGUGUUUGUGUUCAAAACUGUUAAACUAGAAUUAGGGAGAGGUAAGCGGAAUUCUAAGUGUAGGGGUGCAAUCCGUAGAUACUUAGAGGAACACCAAAAGCGAAGGCAGCUUACUGGAACUAUAUUGACGCUGAGGAACGAAAGCGUGGGGAGCGAAAAGGAUUAGAUA